rnacentral:rRNA from 1 species
GACGAACGCUGGCGGCGUGCUUAACACAUGCAAGUCGAGCGGUAAGGCCCUUUCGGGGGUACACGAGCGGCGAACGGGUGAGUAACACGUGGGUGACCUGCCCUCAGCUCUGGGAUAAGCCUGGGAAACCGGGUCUAAUACCGGAUAUGACUCCAUGACGCAUGUUGUGGGGUGGAAAGCCUUGUGCGGCUGAGGAUGGGCCCGCGGCCUAUCAGCUUGUUGGUGGGGUGAUGGCCUACCAAGGCGACGACGGGUAGCCGGCCUGAGAGGGCGACCGGCCACACUGGGACUGAGACACGGCCCAGACUCCUACGGGAGGCAGCAGUGGGGAAUCUUGCGCAAUGGGCGAAAGCCUGACGCAGCGACGCCGCGUGAGGGAUGAAGUCCGUUAGGAUGUAAACUUCUUUGCAGGGGAUGAAUGUCCCGCUUUAGGCGGGAUUGACCGUACCUUGCGAAUAAGGAUCGGCUAACUACGUGCCA